rnacentral:rRNA from 1 species
GACGAACGCUGGCGGCGUGCUUAACACAUGCAAGUCGAACGGAAAGGCCCUGCUUUUGUGGGGUGCUCGAGUGGCGAACGGGUGAGUAACACGUGAGUAACCUGCCCUUGACUUUGGGAUAACUUCAGGAAACUGGGGCUAAUACCGGAUAGGAGCUCCUGCUGCAUGUUGUGGGUUGGAAAGUUUCGGCGGUUGGGGAUGGACUCGCGGCUUAUCAGCUUGUUGGUGGGGUAGUGGCUUACCAAGGCUUUGACGGGUAGCCGGCCUGAGAGGGUGACCGGCCACAUUGGGACUGAGAUACGGCCCAGACUCCUACGGGAGGCAGCAGUGGGGAAUAUUGCACAAUGGGCGGAAGCCUGAUGCAGCAACGCCGCGUGCGGGAUGACGGCCUUCGGGUUGUAAACCGAUUUCGCCUGUGACGAAGCGUGAGUGACGGUAAUGGGUAAAGAAGCACCGGCUAACUACGUG